AAAGACUACUGGGUUUGGGGAAGUGAUGACGUCACAGAGUAGCUGGUUACAGGGGGUGAAAAAAGCCUCAGAGAAAGCCACCUGACCCUAUUCUUUCUGUAAUGCUGCCAUGUGCCCAGUGUUCAUCUGCUCCUUGGUCCUCUGGCUCCUGAGUACAGGCACCCUCAAUGCAAAAGUCAUGCAGACUCCAGGACAUCUGGUCAAAGGGAAAGGACAAAAAGCAAAAAUGGAAUGUGUCCCAAUAAAAGGACAUAGUUAUGUUUUCUGGUAUCAGCAGAUCCCAGCAAAAGAGUUCAAGUUCUUGAUUUCUUUCCAGGAUAACGCUGUCUUUGAUAAAACAGGGAUGCCCACGCAGAGAUUUUUAGCCUUCUGUCCAAAAAACUCACCCUGUAGCCUAGAGAUCGAGCGUACAGAGCUGCAGGAUUCAGCCGUGUAUUUUUGUGCCAGCAGUGAAUCCACAGUGUUAAAUAUUAGUAAAUCUUAA